rnacentral:piRNA from 1 species
UGGGAGAACUUCCCUUCAUUUGCUCGAGCC